AACGGAGGGGGCAAGCGUUAUUCACCUUGACUGGGCGUAAAGGGUGUGUAGACGGUUUUUCUAUUUAUAAUUAAGUAAUCCAAGCUUAACUUUUGAAGUUAUUUAUAAAAAAUUAAAACUUCGAGGUUUUUAGAAGUAAGUUACAUUUUUAAAGUAGAGGUAAAAUUCUCAUAUAGUAAAAAGAUAACCUUAGAGCAAAAGCUACUUACUAUUUUAAGCCUGACGUUGAGACACGAAAGCAUGGGGAUCGAACAGG
rnacentral:rRNA from 1 species